rnacentral:rRNA from 1 species
AUGGGGUGCAGCAGGGGCGAAAACUUGACAAUACGAGAAAUCGUGAUCAGGGAACUCCAAUUGUCCCCGUUUUUACGGGGUUCUGAAUUGACUCUAAACAGGUCGAGUAAUAGGGGCGGGAAAUAUCGGUGCCAGCCGCCGCGGUAAUACCGAAGCCCCAAGUGGUCGUCGUUCUUAUUGGGCCUAAAACGUCCGUAGCCGGUUUGGUACAUUCGUGGGUAAAUCAGACAGCUUAACUGUCUGAAUUCUGCGAGCACGGCCAAACUUGAGACCGGGAGAGGUGUAGGGUACCUGCGGGGUAGGGGUAAAAUCCUGUCAUCCCGUAGGGACCACCAGUUGCGAAGGCUCUACACUAGAACGGAUCUGACGGUCAGGGACGAAGCCUAGGGGCACGAACCGGAUUAGAUACCCGGGUAGUCCUAGGUGUAAACGCUGUGGACUUUGUGUCGGGAAUUCUUCGAGGAUUCUCGGUGCCGGAGUGAAGAUGUUAAGUCCACUGCCUGGGGAGUACGGUCGCAAGGCUGAAACUUAAAGGAAUUGGCGGGGGAGCAC